GCAGGGAGAGGUGAUAAAAAGGGGUUUGUGGUAGUUUAUAGCUCCUGGGAAGGCUAUAGUGUAGGCCUCAGCAUGGCUGGAGUACUGAGGGAAUGAACCACUGGGGCUGCUGGGGUACUGCAGAGCUGCUCCCUCCUGUACUCCCUCAGGAUUGUGAGAGAUAGAGGGUCCUUUUACCACCCUGUCAAAGCGGCAGCUCCUGUCACUCAAAGGGAAACCCCAGAGUCUGGCUUACAGCAGUUUUCCACUCAUUUGGUGCCAGGGCUGGUAGAGUAGGGGAGAACCUCUAGCCCAUUAUUUCCAGCCGUGAAAAAGGACUGGCAGGAAACAUAUUUAAGCAGAUGUCUUGUGUUCUAACAAAAUUCCAGUGAGUCAUCCACAUGCCCUUAGGCAUUCAAUGCACCAGACGGCUUCCUAAUGCCUGUGGCAUCUUGCUCACAAUCUAAUAUUAUGCACACAUUUCACAUAAUAAAACCCCACACCUUCAGCUGGGGAAGGCCCAUAACGCUUUGCUAACCUUGGUAAAUUUGCUGUGAAAUUGAGGACCUGGCACAGGAACUCAAUGCCUGAUACAACUUCAAUCUGAUUUGGUGUUAACAGCCAGAACCUGAUUCUGGGCUGCAAGUGGCAUCACUGUAGCAAUCUUUUGGGUCACCAGCAUUUGCCAUCUUCAGACAGCCCAUGCAGACAAAAAGGUUUUUGUGAACUGGCUGGCAGCCUGUGAGCAGAAGAAAUAAAGGCCCAUGUGCUGUAGUCUCCAGUUAA